UACAGAGGGUGCGAGCGUUGUCCGGAAUCACUGGGCGUAAAGGGCGCGUAGGUGGCGCUCCAAGUCCGUGGUGAAAGCUCGAUGCUUAACAUCGAGUCGGCCACGGAGACUGGAGGGCUCGAGCACUGUAGGGGCAGAUGGAAUUCCGGGUGUAGCGGUGGAAUGCGUAGAGAUCCGGAAGAACACCGGUGGCGAAGGCGGUCUGCUGGGCAGUUGCUGACACUGAGACGCGAAAGCGUGGGGAGCGAACAGG
rnacentral:rRNA from 1 species